GCAGGGGUGCCGGAGUGGUCAAACGGGCUGGGCUUAGGACCCAGUGGCUUAGUGCCUACGGGGGUUCGAAUCCUCUCCCCUGCA
rnacentral:tRNA from 1 species